rnacentral:rRNA from 1 species
AUUGAACGCUGGCGGCAGGCUUAACACAUGCCAGUCGAGCGGAUGAAGGGUGCUUGCUCCUGGAUUCAGCGGCGGACGGGUGAGUAAUGCAUAGGAAUCUGCUUGGUAGUGGGGGAUAACGUCCGGAGACGGGCGCUAAUACUGCAUACGUCCUGAGGGAGAAAGUGGGGGAUCUUCGGACCUCACGCUAUCAGAUGAGCCUAGGUCGGAUUAGCUAGUUGGUGGGGUAAAGGCCUACCAAGGCGACGAUCCGUAACUGGCCUGAGAGGAUGAUCAGUCACACUGGAACUGAGACACGGUCCAGACUCCUACGGGAGGCAGCAGUGGGGAAUAUUGGACAAUGGGCGAAAGCCUGAUCCAGCCAUGCCGCGUGUGUGAAGAAGGUCUUCGGAUUGUAAAGCACUUUAAGUUGGGAGAAAGGGCAGUAAGUUAAUACCUUGCUGUUUUGACGUUACCAACAGAAUAAGCACCGGCUAACUUCGUG